AUUGAACGCUGGCGGCAGGCCUAACACAUGCAAGUCGAGCGGAUGACGGGAGCUUGCUCCUUGAUUCAGCGGCGGACGGGUGAGUAAUGCCUAGGAAUCUGCCUGGUAGUGGGGGACAACGUUUCGAAAGGAACGCUAAUACCGCAUACGUCCUACGGGAGAAAGCAGGGGACCUUCGGGCCUUGCGCUAUCAGAUGAGCCUAGGUCGGAUUAGCUAGUUGGUGAGGUAAUGGCUCACCAAGGCGACGAUCCGUAACUGGCCUGAGAGGAUGAUCAGUCACACUGGAACUGAGACACGGUCCAGACUCCUACGGGAGGCAGCAGUGGGGAAUAUUGGACAAUGGGCGAAAGCCUGAUCCAGCCAUGCCGCGUGUGUGAAGAAGGUCUUCGGAUUGUAAAGCACUUUAAGUUGGGAGGAAGGGUCGUUACCUAAUACGUGACGAUUUUGACGUUACCGACAGAAUAAGCACCGGCUAACUCUGUGCCAGCAGCCGCGGUAACAC
rnacentral:rRNA from 1 species